AAUAAAUGACGGAUGAAUGAAUGGCGAUCCACUGGACUGCUGUGUUUUACUCUGACAGAGCACCAACCCCAUCCUUUGCUAUCCAAACACAGCUUGUUUGGAUAGCAAAGUUUUAAUAAAACCGCUCUCAGACAAAACGUCUUUGUUAAAACAACCCUAAACAAUUUCAACAUCUUCCAUUAACAUUCAGUUCAAAUUUAAAUCCAUGUUUUAAUUCCUGUGCAUGGUAAGCACGGAAAUAAUAUGCAGGGAGAAACCAGAAAUAAAAAAAGAUUGACUAGGUUUCUGACCAAUCAGAGCUAAGAGUGCCUCAUAGUUCGGAAUCGGUGUCGCAGACUCGAGAUCUAAUUGGUUAUCGGAUUGGUUAUCGCCUGGCUACACAAGUCUGAUGAAAUAUGAUUGGAUAAAAACUUUACAAUAAUAUACAACAGUUGGAGCGGCGAAACCAAGCGGAUAUAAUAUGACACGAAGAAAACAGACCACGGAGAAUCAUUUUAUCUGCAAACAAAAUCUGACCAUGUUUAGGCUAGCAGAGAACGCUUAGCUGCGUGUGAUGGCCGCCACUGUGUCCCCUUUGCGUUGUCACGCACGUCCGUGCACGUGCGUCAAAACCAUGGUAACCGCCGCUGACUUUAUAAAAGAAGCGCAGCAAUGUGAUUUUACACAUUCGCCUCUGGUCUUGCAGACAUUGACAGCAAAAGAAAAUCUGUGAGUAUAUUAAUUUGUUUUGCAAGAGCAAUGGAGCGCCACUUGCCCCCGAGGAUCUGGGAGCUCUGGACACGGUUCAGACGGUGGAGCCGCGGAGGCAGACAGCGGUGGCAGCCGGAGGGGGAAGUUGCUGUGCACGGUCGUCCACCUAGGCGUUGGAGGACUCGCUUUGAGCGAGCCACUUCCCACGUUCUGGAAGUUGGCCCCCCCACCUCUGGCAUUGAGGUACCCCGCUUUGACCUGCCUUCUUACACACAACUUCCUCUUUACACUGAUCUCUUUCCUCCUCAUUCUCCUCCACGCUUUCCUGUUCCUUCUGCUAUUCCUUCCACACCUCCUCCUCCCUAUUCUCCUCCACGCUCUCCUGUUCCUUCUUCUGUUCCUUCCACACCCCCUCCUCCCUAUUCUCCUGUUCCCUCUUGCUCUUUUGCUGCUCCUCAUUCUCCUCCACGCUCUCCUGUUCCUUCUUCUGUUCCUUCCACACCCCCCUCCUCCCUAUUCUCCUGUUCCUUCUUGCUCUUUUGCUGCUCCUCAUUCUCCUCCACGCUCUCCUGUUCGUCCUUCUUCUGUUCCUUCCACACCCCCUCCUCCUUAUUCUCCUGUUCCUUCUUGCUCUCCGGCUCCUCCUCUUUCUCCUCCAUGCUCUUUUGCUCCUUCUUCUUCUAUUCCACCUUCACCCCCUGCUCCUUCCCCUCUGGUUCCACUUAUUGUGGCUCCUUCUGAGCUGCCCUGUGUUCCCGAUGCUGGCCUUUCCCUGUCUCCUGUUAUUCAGGACUCAGGCUCCACAGUGGAAGGGACCAGCGAGGACUUAGCGGUUGGGGAAACCAACGAGGCUCCUAGCAGCAGCAGCAGCAGCAGCAGCACACCUGGUAGAGGUAGGGAGGACAGUGAUGAGGAGGGGGCUGCUCCCAAAAGACCAUGUUUUACUGUGAGACACUGUGUCACACAGUAAACUUGGUCUUUGCCUUUGUUGGAUGGCAGCAGCCACCUCUUUGUUCACGGAUAACUGGCCUCUGUUUUUGACAGGACCAGUUUAUCCUACUGUCUUCUUUUUUUUUUCUUGAUUUCUUUCUUCAUAAUUUUAAAUAUUCAUCCAAACCCUGAGAACUAGCCUUUGCGUCUGGCUGGGCAGUUCUUGUCCCAGGUAGCGUCUGGCACUGGGACCUUUCUUUCUUUCCUGGAUGAAUACAGGUUUGAAUGUUAAUAUUUACCCUGAGAACUAGCCUUUGCGUCUGGCUGGGCAGUUCUUGUCGCAGGUUGCGUCUGGCACUGGGGCCUGCGUUUACAGUUCAGCAUGGUGGUGGGAUGGACUUUUCUUUCACCCUGGAGGCUGAGUUCAGCGCCUGGCAGGGCCGUCGACCCCCCCCCAUGCAAGUUGCUCUAGCGUCUGGCAGGGUAACUAUUAUUUUUAUUACCAUGUUUUCCUCUACAGCCAUAGGUCAGUUCAGUUACAGUGGCACUGGGGACACAUGUCAUCUCCCACUGAAGCUCCUCAGUGGCAGAGGAGGAUGGACUGCAGUGUCAUGUGCUUUGGAGGGGACACAUGGUUGUCUGCUGUUCUAAUCAUGCUCCACACCACAGGGAGCAGUGCCACUGAUACUGAUGUACUGACCAGUGUGUCUGUCAGUCCAGCAGACAAAGGUGAGUACAAGAUUUUGAAUGUGUGACAAUUUCAGAGAUGUCAAAGGAAGUAGUUGAGUGGAAAUAAAUGUUUGUAUUACAUUCA
rnacentral:lncRNA from 1 species